rnacentral:lncRNA from 1 species
GAAUUUAGUAGAAAGCUAAAUCAUCGAAAAAAAUUUGAAAUUAAUUUUCGCUUUAAAAGUUUCUUUCUUCUUUUGUAAAUUUAAAUCAUAUAAACAAAUAUUUUUUUAAUUUAAAAUUGAAAAAACUUUGAACAUGCUUAUUGUCUUUUUAUAUUUAUCACUUAUAUCGGUCUAAAACACUUUCAAAAUCGACUUUUUAAGGAAUAUUAUUUUUAUUUUUGAUACUUCAAAUUAAUAUAUAAUUUGAUUAUUAUCUGAUAUUUUCCUUUCAAAGAUUAUUAUCUAAUAUUUAAUUGGGGAAUUAUCUUGUAUACUGUUUUUCAAUCUUAUUUUCAAAAAUACUACCUUCUCCAAUCUUAUUUUUAAAGGUACUACCUUCUCUG